rnacentral:rRNA from 1 species
UACGUAGGGUGCGAGCGUUGUCCGGAAUCAUUGGGCGUAAAGAGCUCGUAGGCGGUCUGUCGCGUCUGCUGUGAAAACUCGGGGCUUAACCCCGGGCCUGCAGUGGGUACGGGCAGACUAGAGUGCGGUAGGGGAGACUGGAAUUCCUGGUGUAGCGGUGAAAUGCGCAGAUAUCAGGAGGAACACCGGUGGCGAAGGCGGGUCUCUGGGCCGUAACUGACGCUGAGGAGCGAAAGCGUGGGGAGCGAACAGG